GAGAGAGAGAGAGAGAGAGCAACAAUUUCUAAAAGGAAAUGGAGGGAUAACUUUGCAAAUGCAUACCUAAUUCUAAAUAUCAUGAAUUAAAAAUAUUGGCCUCCCAUCCCAGAUGUAUCUAGCACCAUAAUCAUAAUAAAAAGUCUGUGGGAAUUAUCUUAUAUAUAUUUCCUGAUCAACAGAGUAUAUUAAAAAUUUAAAAUAAUAUUUUUGAAGCUCUAGAAGAACCCGGCCCAUACAUGAAUUCAACUAGAUAAGGCGUAACAUCUUCAUAUUAUUUUUUCUUUAAGAGGGAGCAGAAUGGAGAUGAACAAAGGAAAUUAUAGUUUCAACUUUGUUAGAAAUUGAAAUUGUCUACUGCUUAAAUGAAAUAAAAAUUAGAUAAUAAGUAUAACCACAUAGGAAUAUCUGGAAAGAAAAAAACAUAAGAGAAUAUAUGGAUUCUAGAUUCAAAUAAAGUUUAGUAUUGGUAACAAUCAUUAGGAAAUCAGGCAAUCAGUUGCAAUGUUCUUGUGCAUCACAUAAACACAUAUUCCUUGAGGCUCAUCCAUAUGUAGGUCUUUUAAGUGAAGCCCAUCAGCAUAAGCAUCACAUGCAUUUUAAGUUUUCGACAAUUAUUUGCAAUAAGCAUUUAUGCACUUUAAGGAUAAAAACAAAUAGCAAAAAAUCAUCAACGAAGCAACCUCUUGAAUUUCACAGGCCAAAACCCAUUCCAAGGUAAUGAGUACGUCAUUUACCCAAACCCAGUAAUAAGAUCCAAUAUUCAAGCAGAUUAAUAUUUGAUCAACCACUUAAUUUAAACUCAUGUAAGCCAUUGGGUCCAACAAAGAAGUAGGACAGGAAGAGCCAGAACACCCUUAAUAAUUUGUGAUAAAAAUUUUCAAAAUCAAAUUCUGUUUUUUCCUUUAUGUGCUCAACCUAAUACAAACAACACUAAGUAUUCUUAAAGUUGACACUUGACAAUUAGAAAUCGUCCAAUGAGGCUUGUUAAUCACUAAUAUUAGAUACAACUAGCUAGAAUGGACAAAAUCUAUAAAAAGAAACCAACAAAAAUAAGCAGCACCAUCUCUUACCAAGGUUUUAGGCAUGGAAGGA
rnacentral:misc_RNA from 1 species